rnacentral:lncRNA from 11 species
UUAAAGAUGAAUUGCAGCCUUUUUGGCUUUGCUUUGCUUUGCUUCCUUGCACUGAAAAUAAAACUGAUUUUGGGAGGCUUCCAAGAUUUACAAAAUGAAAACAAAAAAGUAUUGGGGACUGAAAACCAUUGGAUGAGGGACCAGCAUUGAUCCAUGGACCACCAUUUUGGAUAGUACUGUUUCAGAAGCACAAAGCAUGCAGCAUGAAAGAAAAAAAGUUUUU